CAGCCGCCUCGGUAAUACGAAGGGGGCUAGCGUUGCUCGGAAUCACUGGGCGUAAAGGGUGCGUAGGCGGGUCUUUAAGUCAGGGGUGAAAUCCUGGAGCUCAACUCCAGAACUGCCUUUGAUACUGAAGAUCUUGAGUUCGGGAGAGGUGAGUGGAGCUGCGAGUGUAGAGGUGAAAUUCGUAGAUAUUCGCAAGAACACCAGUGGCGAAGGCGGCUCACUGGCCCGAUACUGACGCUGAGGCACGAAAGCGUGGGGAGCAAACAGGAUUAGAUACCCCAGUAGUCCCUGUCUCUUAUAC
rnacentral:rRNA from 1 species